rnacentral:lncRNA from 1 species
AGCUGGAUGAUGGCCCAACACUCGAAGAGCAUCGAAGGAAGGAUCACAAGGGAGUCUGGUGCUGCAGUCGAGGAGCCUGGGUGAGUGUGGGUGGGUGGGGAGGAGCGAGAAGGGGCAGAGGGAAGGAAGAGGGGUGCCAGACUUUCUCCUUGGAACCAUCCACCAUGCUGCUCCCACCCAGAACAUCACAAGAUCAAGCCUCUGGACUCCAUGCAUCUAGCUUCACAUUCUUUCUCUCCUCAAGUGGGGACCAUGGCUGAAUAUGUCAUUUCCCUUGCAGGACGUAAAAUGGGCUUGGAUUAGAGAAUUAGGCCCAACUUAACUCUGCCCCCAGACUUGUGUCUGCUCCUUCAAGACCUGGACAACUUCCAGACCACGAGAACAGAGUGUCUAACAGGAAUCCGGUAAUGCUGUUGUGGUCAUAGCUUAAUUGCUCUGAAGAGGUAACAGGAUCCAGGCAAUAUCAAAAGCAUGUGAGUGCCCUCUGAGCUCAGCACUGGUCCCCAGCUCUCCCUUUUGCUGUAUCCGUGCCCAGGAGCUUCACCAGCUGGAGACAGCAUUGGCAAGGAGAGCUUCCAAUAGGAUAUGAGCGCUGAUGCUUCUCAUCAAAACCCUGCGCCUGAGCCUGACGAUCGGAACCAUCAGAACGCAAGGAGGCAAAGGUCUGAUGGAUCAAAGGGGACCCACCGGUUUGAUGCUAACCUACUGGAGGAAGGGAGGUCGUCUCGUCCGCUCAGAGGGAGCCAUUAUGAUUCUCAUAUUAAAGUCAUGGAAACUGAGUCCCGGAGAGUUAAGGAACCUGCCCACGUCUACAGAGAUGAGGUUGAAACAGAACCCAAAGCAAGGGGGAAGUCACACGGAGGAGUGCAGCUGGGAGACCAUCGGCUAACACCUUGGUGAGCCUUUUUCUGUGUGCCCUCAGUGUUCUGAAAUCGUCCAUGCAUUUAACUCAGUCCACCCUCCCUUUCUAAAAGCUUUGUACUUUGUGAUAAAUCACUUCCAUGAAUACCAGUGGGAAGGAACAAAGGGGCCCUCAAACACACACCUACAGAAAUGUAGGUCCUUUUUUUUUUGGCCUCGCCUGUGCUAUGUGGAAGUUCCCAGGCCAGGGACCGAACCUGUGCCACAUCAGCGAUCCAAGCAGCUGCAAUGACAAUACCAGAUUCUUAACCCACAGUGCCACAAGAGAACUCUGGUGCAGUCUCCUUUGAAGGCAAUUUGGCAACAUCUAUUGAAAUUUAAAAUUCACAUUGUGUUUACACCCAGAAAUUCCACUUCUAAGUAUUAAACUGGACCAAGAAGUAUGUACAGAGAUAUUCAUGGUAGCAAGAUCCGUAAUAGCCAAGGAUUAGAAACAUCCUAAAUAUUUAUCAUUAGGAAUGCUAGGGGAAUGUUAAAAAAUAAAGCAAAUGGGGAGUUCCCA